AUUGAACGCUGGCGGCAUGCCUUACACAUGCAAGUCGAACGGUAACGGGCCUUCGGGUGCCGACGAGUGGCGAACGGGUGAGUAAUGUAUCGGAACGUACCUUUCAGUGGGGGAUAACGUAGCGAAAGUUACGCUAAUACCGCAUAUUCUGUGAGCAGGAAAGCAGGGGAUCGCAAGACCUUGCGCUGAUUGAGCGGCCGAUAUCAGAUUAGCUAGUUGGUGAGGUAAAGGCUUACCAAGGCGACGAUCUGUAGCGGGUCUGAGAGGUUGAUCCGCCACACUGGAACUGAGCCACGGUCCAGACUCCUACGGGAGGCAGCAGUGGGGAAUUUUGGACAAUGGGGGCAACCCUGAUCCAGCCAUGUCGCGUGAGUGAAGAAGGCCUUCGGGUUGUAAAGCUCUUUCGGCCGGGAAGAAAUCGUAUCAGCUAAUACCUGGUGCGGAUGACGGUACCGGCAUAAGAAGCACCGGCUAACUACGUGCCAGCCGCCGCCGUAAUAC
rnacentral:rRNA from 1 species